GAUGAACGCUAGCUACAGGCUUAACACAUGCAAGUCGAGGGGCAGCAUGAUUGAAGCUUGCUUCAAUCGAUGGCGACCGGCGCACGGGUGAGUAACACGUAUCCAACCUGCCGAUAACUCGGGGAUAGCCUUUCGAAAGAAAGAUUAAUACCCGAUAGUAUAGUAUUUCCGCAUGGUUUCACUAUUAAAGAACUUCGGUUAUCGAUGGGGAUGCGUUCCAUUAGAUAGUUGGCGGGGUAACGGCCCACCAAGUCAACGAUGGAUAGGGGUUCUGAGAGGAAGGUCCCCCACAUUGGAAAUGAGACACGGUCCAAAAUCCGACGGGAGGCAGCAGUGAGGAAUAUUGGUCAAUGGACGAGAGUCUGAACCAGCCAAGUAGCGUGAAGGAUGACUGCCCUAUGGGUUGUAAACUUCUUUUAUACGGGAAUAAAGUGGAGUAUGCAUACUACUUUGUAUGUACCGUAUGAAUAAGGAUCGGCUAACUACGUG
rnacentral:rRNA from 1 species